CAGACUUAUACCCACACAUUUACACACACACACACGCACAUAUACAUACAAACAAACACACGCGUACAUUAUUAAUUACAAACAACAAGAAGGAAUGUAACGACAACUGCAGGAUUUGAACCUGCGUCUCCUCGUUCGCAUGGAUGUACGGAUACCUUGAGCCGCUUGUCUAUAUUUGGCCUGGAGAAUGGCUGUACGCCACAGCAUCCUGUACGUGAGGAUCGGAGAAGCUAAAGAAUUACCCCCCAAAGACUUGUCAGGAGUCAGUGAUCCCUACUGUGUGAUAAAGAUAGACAAUGAACCUAUUGCUAGGACAGCCACCGUCUAUAAAACGUUGUGUCCAUUCUGGGGUGAGGAGUACAAGAUGCAUUUGCACAGUGACUUCUAUGAUUUGAACCUGUAUGUCUACGAUGAGGACCGACUGGGGGAAGAUGAUAUUAUUGGAAAAGUAACCCUUUCCAGAGAUGCCAUAGCAACCGGAAGGAAAGCUACAGAGAUGUGGCUGCCACUCACCAAAGUGAACAAAGCUGCUGAAAUCCAGGGGGAGAUCCUGAUCGAGAUCGAGAAAAUCCGAGACGUUGUGAGACAAGAGAAUACACUCCGAGUGACUGUGAUGGAGGCAAGGGAUUUGGCACCAAAGGAUAUGUUUGGGAGUUCGGAUCCAUUUGUAACUGUUUCCUUCCUGGAACAGAGUAAAACCACAUCGACACAGAAGAAGACCAGGUUCCCCAGUUGGUACGAGACAUUCGAGUUCAACAUGCCAUUGUCCUGUCCUCCAAAGACUGUUAUUGAAGUGAAACUGUGGGACUGGGAUAGAGUGAGCAGCAAUGAUUUUCUUGGUGAGGUAAACAUUAACUUCCGGAACCUACCUGAUGGUUGCAAAGUGAAGAAAUGGUACAGACUGAUGCCUCGACCACCUCACAUGGAAAACAGAAGUGCUGGGGGCGAUCCGAUGUUCCCAAAGCCAGCUCCUAACCGGGGCAGUGUCCGCAUAAAGGUCCACCUCAUACAGGAAACAGUGUUACCCACAUACAGCUAUGGCACACUGCGACACAUUCUCACAGAUUCAGUUCUGCCAAAGGGUACAGAAGCACCAGAUCUCAGUGCUGUCCACUUGUUGGAAGAAAUCAGUCGCCUUGACCUCAAUGAAAUGUCCAACUGUCUGGUCAGACUUUAUUUAAACGAGGGACUCAUCACAGAAUAUUUGACGGCCAUCACAGCAGAAGAGGUCAAGAACACAUCUGAUCCCAACACACUGUUCCGAGGGAACUCCCUAGCUACGAAGUCUAUGGACCAUUUUAUGAAGGUGGUGGGUCUUCACUAUUUACAAGAGACGAUGGGCCAUGUGAUAGACCAAGUGUAUGGCGACCGAAGAAUAGUGGAGCUGGACCCAACGAGGGUUGAUAGUAUCAAAAGGCGCCACUGGUCCAGCAUAAAAGAGUCUAACGGCCACGUCCUGGAGCACAGCAAGACAGCCGUCACUUGUUACAUUACCAAUAUUAUGGAGGCCAUCCUGAACUCCCACAGUAAAUGUCCAAUUCUGAUGAGGUUGGUCUUUAAACAUCUCAAGGAACAAGUUCAAAACAAAUGGCCCACAGGGAAUGAAGAGAAUAUGGAUUAUGCCUACCAUGCAGUCAGUGGGUUUCUCUUCUUGCGGUUCUUCGUUCCGGCCAUAUUGUCGCCAAAGUUGUUCCUGCUCCAGGAACACCACCCGGAUCGGAAAGUCAGCCGGACGCUAACUCUCCUUGCAAAGGUAACCCAGACCAUUGGUAACCUCUCAGAACCUGUUGGUAAAGAGCAAUGGCUCCAACCUCUCCAUGACUUUGUACGAGAAAAGAUUGAUGAUGUUCGGACAUUCAUUGACACACUAACAGACAUCAGCACAGACAACACACUUAGAUACUUCCCGAACCGACAACCAUUUUACUCAGGGGUCAUCUUAAAAGAGGGAUACCUCCACAAAUGUCGAUACUCUUCCAAAAAAUUGCUCAACCGGCUAUCAUUCUCCUUCUCCUUCAAGCCACAAUAUUUCUGGCUUACCUACAAAGAACUGCGCUAUUCUCCUCUUCCAGAGAGUAAGGUGCAGUCUGUGAAACUAACGGACCAAAUUUGUGCGGUGGAGCGUCUAGAUUACAGUGCAUUUGGCAAAGAUAAUAUCGGUCAACUGAUAAGCCAAACACCUGACAAUGAACUGGAAAUUCUGUAUUUCCAAGCUAAGCAAUCCGAAAGACUUUCUCGGCCAACAAACAGCAGCUAAAGACUUACCAUCCGGGAAUCUAUCGUAGAAAUAGGUGGAGCUGCUGUCACAGAAUCGACACAGACGCUGUGGGAUGCAGCCCCACCCACAACAAGGUUACACUACAAGAGUGGAUGGACCCUAUCGACUGUGACAUGGAGGCGCAGACAGUGUGUAGCCAGCUGAUAGCCCGACAGACACAACUACA
rnacentral:misc_RNA from 1 species